rnacentral:tRNA from 1 species
AUUUAUAUAAUAUAGAUAUUAUAUUUAAUUUCCAAUUAAAAAACCUAAAUAAUUUUAGUAUAAAUA